rnacentral:rRNA from 1 species
UACGAAGGGGGCUAGCGUUGUUCGGAAUCACUGGGCGUAAAGGGCGCGUAGGCGGCUUUGUAAGUCGGGGGUGAAAGCCUGUGGCUCAACCACAGAAUUGCCUUCGAUACUGCAUGGCUUGAGACCGGAAGAGGUAAGUGGAACUGCGAGUGUAGAGGUGAAAUUCGUAGAUAUUCGCAAGAACACCAGUGGCGAAGGCGGCUUACUGGUCCGGAUCCGACGCUGAGGCGCGAAAGCCAGGGGAGCAAACGGG